rnacentral:rRNA from 1 species
UACGUAGGGUGCAAGCGUUGUCCGGAAUUAUUGGGCGUAAAGAGCUCGUAGGCGGUUUGUUGCGUCGGCUGUGAAAUCCCGAGGCUCAACCUCGGGUCUGCAGUCAAUACGAGCAAACUAGAGUGUUGCAGGGGAGACUGGAAUUCCUGGUGUAGCGGUGAAAUGCGCAGAUAUCAGGAGGAACACCGGUGGCGAAGGCGAGUCUCUGGGCAACAACUGACGCUGAGGAGCGAAAGCGUGGGGAGCGAACAGG